rnacentral:misc_RNA from 1 species
AAGUCGUAACAAGGUUUCCGUAGGUGAACCUGCGGAAGGAUCAUUACUGAAGCAAACGGGGCGCAAGUCUCGAGAUUUCUUCACACCCUCGCUGCGUGUGGAAGCUCUGUUGCAGGACUAGCGUCUCGCAGCGAGCAGCAUGCAGCGUGUCUUACAUCUUGUGUAAGCAAAACAACAGUCUGAUAAAAACAAAACAAGCCAAAACUUUCAACAACGGAUCUCUUGGCUCUC